rnacentral:rRNA from 1 species
UCUAAGGAUUGUAAACUUCUGUUAGCGCGGAAAAAGGGCUAAACGUGAGUUUAGUUUUGAUGGUACGCGCAGAGAAAGCAACGACUAACUAUGUGC